GAUGAACGCUGGCGGCGUGCCUAACACAUGCAAGUCGAGCGAACGGACGAUGAUCUUGUUUCGCUGAUGUUAGCGGCGGGCGGGUGUGUAACGCGUGUAUAACCCACCUAUAAGUCGGGGAUAACUACGGGAAACCGGAUCUAACACCGGAGAAUAUUUUGCACCGCGUUGGUCAAAAGUAAGAUACGGUGUUUCUGUCUCGUAUAGAUGGAUCCGCGCUGCUUUAGGUAGUUGGUGAGGUAACGGCUUACCAAGGCGACGAUGCAUAGGCGACGGGAGAGGGUGAUAGGCGACACGAGAAGUGAAACACGGUCCAUGCUACUACGGGAGGGAGCAGUAGGGUAUGUUACGCAGAGGGCGGAAGCCUGGCGGAGCAGCGCCGAGUGAGUGAUGAAGGUCUUGCGAUCGUAAAACUCUGUUACUGGGUAAGAACAUAUGUGUCAGUAACUGUGGAGAUCGUGACGGUACCUAAUCAGAAAGCAACGGCUAACUACGUG
rnacentral:rRNA from 1 species